rnacentral:rRNA from 1 species
GAUGAACGCUGGCGGCGUGCCUAAUACAUGCAAGUCGAGCGAACGGACGAGAAGCUUGCUUUUCUGAUGUUAGCGGCGGACGGGUGAGUAACACGUGGAUAACCUACCUAUAAGACUGGGAUAACUUCGGGAAACCGGAGCUAAUACCGGAUAAUAUUUUGAACCGCAUGGUUCAAAAGUGAAAGACGGUCUUGCUGUCACUUAUAGAUGGAUCCGCGCUGCAUUAGCUAGUUGGUAAGGUAACGGCUUACCAAGGCAACGAUGCGUAGCCGACCUGAGAGGAUGAUCGGCCACACUGGAACUGAGACACGGUCCAGACUCCUACGGGAGGCAGCAGUAGGGAAUCUUCCGCAAUGGGCGAAAGCCUGACGGAGCAACGCCGCGUGAGUGAUGAAGGUCUUCGGAUCGUAAAACUCUGUUAUUAGGGAAGAACAUAUGUGUAAGUAACUGUGCACAUCUUGACGGUACCUAAUCAGAAAGCAACGGCUAACUACGUG